rnacentral:rRNA from 1 species
ACCGGCGGCUCGAGUGGUGGCCACUAUUACUGGGCUUAAAGCGUUCGUAGCUGGUUUGUUAAGUCUCUGGGGAAAUCUUCCGGCUUAACCGGAAGGCGUCUCAGGGAUACUGGCAGACUAGGGACCGGGAGAGGUGAGGGGUACUCCAGGGGUAGGAGUAAAAAGCAGGACUCCGGGGGGGAGCACCAGGGGAGGGGGCGACACACCAGAACAGCACCGACAGUGAGCGACGAAACUUGGAGGAAGAAACUG